UAGCUUGUAGCUUAAUUUAAAGCAGCCCACUUACAAUGGGAGGAUCACUGAAGACGGUGCUGACUAA
rnacentral:tRNA from 1 species